rnacentral:tRNA from 1 species
CCUCUUAAAGACAAGUUUUGUUUUUUCCACUUUUCAUCAUUCUGGCCUUUCGAGCCAGCUACUCGGGUUCGAAUCCCGACGGGAGCA